rnacentral:rRNA from 1 species
AUACGUAGGGUGCAAGCGUUGUCCGGAAUUAUUGGGCGUAAAGAGCUCGUAGGCGGUCUGUCGCGUCGGCUGUGAAAACUCGGGGCUCAACUCCGAGCUUGCAGUCGAUACGGGCAGGCUAGAGUUCGGCAGGGGAGACUGGAAUUCCUGGUGUAGCGGUGAAAUGCGCAGAUAUCAGGAGGAACACCGGUGGCGAAGGCGGGUCUCUGGGCCGAUACUGACGCUGAGGAGCGAAAGCGUGGGGAGCGAACAG